CACUCCUGCGGGAGGCAGCAGUGGGGAAUAUUGCACAAUGGGCGCAAGCCUGAUGCAGCCAUGCCGCGUGUAUGAAGAAGGCCUUCGGGUUGUAAAGUACUUUCAGCGGGGAGGAAGGCGAUAAGGUUAAUAACCUUGUCGAUUGACGUUACCCGCAGAAGAAGCACCGGCUAACUCCGUGCCAGCAGCCGCGGUAAUACGGAGGGUGCAAGCGUUAAUCGGAAUUACUGGGCGUAAAGCGCACGCAGGCGGUCUGUCAAGUCGGAUGUGAAAUCCCCGGGCUCAACCUGGGAACUGCAUUCGAAACUGGCAGGCUAGAGUCUUGUAGAGGGGGGUAGAAUUCCAGGUGUAGCGGUGAAAUGCGUAGAGAUCUGGAGGAAUACCGGUGGCGAAGGCGGCCCCCUGGACAAAGACUGACGCUCAGGUGCGAAAGCGUGGGGAGCAAACAGGAUUAGAAACCCCUGUAGUCCC
rnacentral:rRNA from 1 species